rnacentral:tRNA from 1 species
GGCCUCGAUGGACGACCGUGGACGCCCCGGCUCUGACUACGGAUCAGAAGGUUGGGGGUUCGAAUCCCUCCGGGCGC